rnacentral:rRNA from 1 species
ACAACGAAGAGUUUGAUCCUGGCUCAGGAUGAACGCUAGCGGCAGGCUUAACACAUGCAAGUCGAGGGGCAGCACGGGUGCUUGCACUUGGUGGCGACCGGCGGACGGGUGCGUAACGCGUAUGCAACCUACCUUAUACAGGGAGAUAGCCCAGAGAAAUUUGGAUUAAUAUGCCAUAAUAUCAUAAAGCCACAUGGUUUAAUGAUUAAAGAUUUAUCGGUAUAAGAUGGGCAUGCGUAUGAUUAGCUAGUUGGUGAGGUAAUGGCUCACCAAGGCGACGAUCAUUAGGGGGCCUGAGAGGGUGAACCCCCACACUGGUACUGAGACACGGACCAGACUCCUACGGGAGGCAGCAGUGAGGAAUAUUGGGCAAUGGAGGCAACUCUGACCCAGCCAUGCCGCGUGUAGGAAGAAGGCGUUCUGCGUCGUAAACUACUUUUAUAUAGGAAUAAACCUCUCUACGUGUAGAGGGCUGAAUGUACUAUACGAAUAAGCACCGGCUAACUCCGUGCCAGCAGCCGCGGUAAUACGGAGGGUGCAAGCGUUAUCCGGAUUCAUUGGGUUUAAAGGGUCCGUAGGCGGCCAAAUAAGUCAGUGGUGAAAGCCUCCCGCUCAACGGGAGAACUGCCAUUGAAACUGUCUGGCUUGAAUCUAUUUGAAGUGGGCGGAAUACAUCAUGUAGCGGUGAAAUGCAUAGAUAUGAUGUAGAACACCUAUUGCGAAGGCAGCUCACUAAGUUAGCAUUGACGCUGAGGGACGAAAGCGUGGGGAGCGAACAGGAUUAGAUACCCUGGUAGUCCACGCCGUAAACGAUGGUCACUCGCUGCAGGCGAUACACGGUCUGUGGCUGAGCGAAAGCAUUAAGUGACCCACCUGGGGAGUACGUUCGCAAGAAUGAAACUCAAAGGAAUUGACGGGGGCCCGCACAAGCGGUGGAGCAUGUGGUUUAAUUCGAUGAUACGCGAGGAACCUUACCAAGGCUUAAAUGUAGAUUGACAGGGGUGGAAACAUCUUUUUCUUCGGACAAUUUACAAGGUGCUGCAUGGUUGUCGUCAGCUCGUGCUGUGAAGUGUCGGGUUAAGUCCCAUAACGAGCGCAACCCCUAUUUUCAGUUGCCAGCGAGUAAUGUCGGGGACUCUGGAGAAACUGCCACCGUAAGGUGAGAGGAAGGUGGGGAUGACGUCAAAUCAUCACGGCCCUUACGUCUUGGGCUACACACGUGCUACAAUGGUCGGUACAGAGGGCAGCCACCCCGCGAGGGGGCGCGAAUCUCCAAAACCGAUCUCAGUUCGGAUCGAAGUCUGCAACUCGACUUCGUGAAGCUGGAAUCGCUAGUAAUCGGAUAUCAGCCAUGAUCCGGUGAAUACGUUCCCGGGCCUUGUACACACCGCCCGUCAAGCCAUGGAAGCUGGGGGUACCUGAAGUCGGUCACCGUAAGGAGCUGCCUAGGGUAAAACUAGUAACUGGGGCUAAGUCGUAACAAGGUAGCCGUACCGGAAGGUGCGGCUGGAAUACCUCCUUU